rnacentral:tRNA from 1 species
GAUAGGUUAAUUCAGUGGUAGAAUUCCCGGCUCUUCACCCGGGCUGACGCAGGUUCGAGCCCUGCACCUAUCCCA